UGGAUACAUGAACAUCAUGUAUCCAGCUGAGCAAUCAGGAACAAACAAACCAUUUUGCAAAGAUUGCUCAAAAACACUUCCUGAUCCUUUUCUCUGCAUGUUAAUAGGUCAUCCCACCUGUAUUUUAUUUUCAAGGCAAUUCUGUAUUUACAUAUAUUAAUGAUUCCCAAAGGAGACCCAAACCAUUCCAGACUCUUGCAGCAAAACCAGCGAUGAAUCCUGUGGCACUUUAAAGGUUUGAUCACAAGCAAAAUGCAAUGGGUGUGCUUCCACAGUGGAUUGAUUAUACAGUGAUGGGCAUCUGUAAGGACACAUUGAAAUCUGGCACCAUGAAGUCACUGACAAGAUGGUUUAAGUAACUGUAAAGAGUGAAAAAGAAAACAGAUGGAAAGACUUACUUGAACAAAGCGGAUUUGUAUUUUCAGCACCAUCGUCUUCUGUAAAAUAAAAUUGAAAUGGAA